UCAGCUGCGGGCGGGCUCCCGGAGUGUCUCAAUUCCCGCUUCGACCUCUUUCCACUUUGCAGCUGGGCAAACUGCGGCUUAAAAAAUCAGCGAACUUCCCCGAAGCGGAGAAGCUACCUAGGCGGUACCAAGAGCUCCGCACUGUAGAAAGAACGGAGGACUGAGGAAGGCCCAAAGCCCACCACGGGUUAAAACCACGGAGCUGCGGAGAACCGCCGAGGCCUAGAGGGGCCCCGCCCCUCUACCCUGGUCCCCUUCACUUCCAACUUCCGGGCGCGGCGCCACUUCCGGUUCCGGCGGCGGGCUACAAAGCUCUGCGCCUGGUAGUUGGUUUCCUUUUCUCGGAGUCGGCUUGAGGCUUCGAGUUGGCUCGCGAGGCGCCCCCGCCCCGUUCCCUCCACCCUCCGAGGUGGCACCUGCGCAGGAGUCUGCAACCUCCUUUUCCAGAGUUCCAGAAUGGAGACUGAAGGGUACCUAGAAACACAAAGAAAUAGAGAAGUCCAGAAUGAUAAAAUGAGGUCACCGUCAAAUGAGAUGAUGGCUGAGGAGCCAGAAGUUGUCCUGAUAUCGGCUCCCCAGGUCCAGGCUCCACGAGAGCCUUCUGGGCUUCCACCAGAGAGCCUCGAUGAAGACUCUCUUGAAGACCUUGAGACCAUGCCACGAAGGAAUCCUCCUAACGCAGCAGCCUCCAGGCAGAGGUUCCGGAAAUUCCGCUAUGAGGAUGCAGCUGGUCCCAGGGAUGUCCUCAGACAUCUCCAGGAGCUUGCUGGACAGUGGCUGAGACCCGAUAUUCACACAAAGGAGCAGAUUGUGGAGAUGCUGGUGCAGGAGCAGUUCCAGGCCGUCCUGCCGGAGGAGCUCAGAGCUCGGGCCCAGAGAUGUCAGCCUGGGGUCAGAAUCACUGGCUAAGUCCUGCCACAGGGUUCUUGCUCAGCUUACAUGUGAGAAGUAACCAAACGUUCUCUUUGUUGCAAGAGCCAACAACAGUCACGGGGAAAUGUGAACCUCGGGUUUUUUUUAGCUUGCCUUUGACUAGUUGUAAUUAGAAUCCAUCAGAACCCAUGUUUGGACCUCUCUCUGGCUGAGGCAGCUUUAAUUCCUGGGACUGAGCUCCAGAAACAGCUUCUGUUAGGACCUUCCUGUUAGGACAAUCAGCCUGUUGCUUGUUUUUGCUCUGCUGAAUGCCUCCUUUUUUGCACUUUCUGACAUGCUUUAAUAUAUUGUUAUGUAUCCAAAGAGGUAGUUGCUUCAACUUUCAGAAUUCUUGAUUCUUGCUGUGGUGGCAUGAAUGGAAGCUUCUGUAACCCCACCAGUAACUCAUCUUCGAUGUCCUUGAAAUAUUAAAGUUUGGUCCUUAA